GUGCUCGCUUUGGCAACACAUAUACUAAAACUGGAAUGAUACAGAAAUUAGCAUGGCCCCUGCUCAGGGAUGACAUGCAAAUUCAUGAAGCGUUCUAUACUUAA